UUUUUAAAAAGAAUUAAUAUUAGUAAAGAUAUAUAUGGUACUAAACAUAAGGAAAUAGGGGAAAACGUAUCAUAUUUGUAGUGGGAGAAUGGGAUCAUUACAAGGAAAAAUGAAAUAUAUAUCAUUAACAACAAACAUAAAAGAAAGCGUCUUUUGAUAAAGUUGUUAUUGGUGUAAUGUGAAGGGACCACAAUCAUCACCAUUCACCACUUGCUCCUAAUUGAGUUGAAAUCUUUUUACAACAUAGAAAACUAGAACAUCUCCCUUUCUUGCUUCCUAUAUAUAGAUUUUGUAUCAUCGCAAUUCCACAUCACACACGCAAGCAAAGCAAAGCAUUAGCAACCAUAGCCAUGGCUUCCUCACCAAAACUCUUCUCUAUGUCUAUCCUCUUCCUUUUUGCCCUCUUCUCCAUGCAAAUCCAUGCUAGAGAGUACUUCAGCAAAUUCCCAAGAGUUAACACCAAUGAGAAAGAGACAACAACCAGAGAGCAAGAGCACGAGACCUUCGUUCCCCAGACCACCCAAAAGCCAGAAGAGCAAGAGCCAAGGUUCAUCCCUGAAACCCAAAAUGGUUAUGGCCUUUACGGCCACGAGUCAGGCUCAGGCUCAAGCCGGCCCAGUUUCACCACCAAAGAAACCUAUGAACCCUAUGUCACCCCUGUUAGAUUCCACCCUGAUGAACCCUAUAACAGCAUCCCCGAAUCCUCCAACAAUAAAGACACUUACUACUACAACAAGAAUGCCUACAAGUCCACUAAGCAGCAAAACUUGGGCGAGGCCAUUUUCACCGAGAAAGGAUGGAGCACCAAGGAAAACCAGAACAACAACUACUACAACGGCAACAUUAAUGGCGAGAAGCAAGGCAUGAGCGAUACUAGGUACUUGGAGAAUGGAAAGUACUACUAUGACGUCAAGAGUGAGAACAGCUAUUAUCCAAACCAGCUCGACAACUCAAGAGGAGUUGCUUCCAGGAACGAGUUCGAUGAGAAUCGUUACAACAACAUGGGAAGGUACCACCAGAACCAAGAGGAGUUCGAGGAAAGCGAGGAAGAGUUCGAACCCUGAUCACCUGUCGUACAGUAUUUCUACAUUUGAUGUGUGAUUUGUGAAGAACAUCAAACAAAACAAGCA
rnacentral:lncRNA from 1 species